AGAAACCGGGGAUUUUAGAAAACCCCNCCGGUUAUUUUCCUGGCCAGUUAACGAUGUCAAACUAGGUGCUUGGGGUACCCAAUCCCUGGCGUGCUCCGCCUACGGCAGUAACGUUGACCGCCUGGGGGAGUACGGCCGCCAAGGCCUAAACUCAAAGGAAUUGACGGGGCCCGCACAAGCAGCGGAGCGUGUGGUUUAAUUCGAGGCAACGCGAAGAACCUUACCAGGGUUGGACAUGGCGGUGGUAGGGAGGUGAAAGCCGACCGACUCUUCGGAGAGCCGCCACAGGUGCUGCAUGGCUGUCGUCAGCUCGUGCCGUGAGGUGUUAGGUUAAGUCCUGUAACGAGCGCAACCCACGUCGUCAGUUAUACGUGUCUGGCGAGACUGCCGGUGAUAAGCCGGUAGGAAGGUCGUGGAUGACGUCAAGUCAGCAUGGCCUUUAUAUCCUGGGCUACACACACGCUACAAUGGCCGGUACAAUGGGUAGCCAAGCCGCGAGGCGGAGCCAAUCCCGCAAAGCCGGUCUCAGUUCGGAUUGCAGGCUGCAACUCGCCUGCAUGAAGUCGGAGUUGCUAGUAACCGCAGGUCAGCCACACUGCGGUGAAUACGUUCCCGGGCCUUGUACACACCGCCCGUCACGUCAUGGAAGCUGGCACGCCUGAAGUCGGUGGGUGAACCCGCAAGGGACACAGCCGCCUAAGGUGGGUGGUGACUGGGACGAAGUCGUACAUGUAGCUC
rnacentral:rRNA from 1 species